rnacentral:tRNA from 1 species
GCGGGUAUGGCGGAAUUGGCAGACGCGCCAGAUUUAGGUUCUGGUGCCCCGGGGCGUGAAGGUUCAAGUCCUUUUACCCGCACCA